rnacentral:rRNA from 1 species
UACAGAGGUCUCAAGCGUUGUUCGGAUUCAUUGGGCGUAAAGGGUGCGUAGGCGGCUCGGUAAGUCGGGUGUGAAAUCUCCACGCUCAACGUGGAGGGGCCACUCGAUACUGCCGUGACUCGAGUCCGGUAGAGGAGUGUGGAAUUCCCGGUGUAGCGGUGAAAUGCGCAGAUAUCGGGAGGAACACCAGUAGCGAAGGCGGCACUCUGGGCCGGUACUGACGCUGAGGAGCGAAAGCGUGGGGAGCAAACAGG